GUCAACAUGAGAAACCUUGGAGAGGUCAGCUGCUCCUUCCACACAGGACGGUGGUGAUGGCUUGAAGCUGAGCUUGUGGGGUGCGCGGCCAGUGAUGACCGAAGGAACCACCUCUGAGAGUUUGACCCAUGCAAAUUCACCUGCUUUUCCCAGUGCCUUGGAGUUUCCCCAGUGAAGACCAAGAGGCGUUCCCAUUCUUGGGGGCUAUUGCUCUGGACGGGAUCGUUCUCUCUCUUUCAAAGACACCAAAACUCUGCUUGUGUGAAAACCUAUUUCUCUGAGAGUUCAGCUUAUCAAACAAACAUGCUCAUUCAUAGUUCAGUCAUUCAUACGUCUGAUUAAAGAGUUAUUUCCAAGUACUGA